GGGUUGUGAGGUUAAGCGACUAAGCGUACACGGUGGAUGCCCUGGCAGUCAGAGGCGAUGAAGGACGUGCUAAUCUGCGAUAAGCGUCGGUAAGGUGAUAUGAACCGUUAUAACCGGCGAUUUCCGAAUGGGGAAACCCAGUGUGAUUCGUCACACUAUCAUUAACUGAAUCCAUAGGUUAAUGAGGCGAACCGGGGGAACUGAAACAUCUAAGUACCCCGAGGAAAAGAAAUCAACCGAGAUUCCCCCAGUAGCGGCGAGCGAACGGGGAGGAGCCCAGAGCCUGAAUCAGUGUGUGUGUUAGUGGAAGCGUCUGGAAAGGCGCGCGAUACAGGGUGACAGCCCCGUACACAAAAAUGCACAUGCUGUGAGCUCGAUGAGUAGGGCGGGACACGUGGUAUCCUGUCUGAAUAUGGGGGGACCAUCCUCCAAGGCUAAAUACUCCUGACUGACCGAUAGUGAACCAGUACCGUGAGGGAAAGGCGAAAAGAACCCCGGCGAGGGGAGUGAAAAAGAACCUGAAACCGUGUACGUACAAGCAGUGGGAGCACAGAGCAAUCUGUGUGACUGCGUACCUUUUGUAUAAUGGGUCAGCGACUUAUAUUCUGUAGCAAGGUUAACCGAAUAGGGGAGCCGAAGGGAAACCGAGUCUUAACUGGGCGUUAAGUUGCAGGGUAUAGACCCGAAACCCGGUGAUCUAGCCAUGGGCAGGUUGAAGGUUGGGUAACACUAACUGGAGGACCGAACCGACUAAUGUUGAAAAAUUAGCGGAUGACUUGUGGCUGGGGGUGAAAGGCCAAUCAAACCGGGAGAUAGCUGGUUCUCCCCGAAAGCUAUUUAGGUAGCGCCUCGUGAAUUCAUCUCCGGGGGUAGAGCACUGUUUCGGCAAGGGGGUCAUCCCGACUUACCAACCCGAUGCAAACUGCGAAUACCGGAGAAUGUUAUCACGGGAGACACACGGCGGGUGCUAACGUCCGUCGUGAAGAGGGAAACAACCCAGACCGCCAGCUAAGGUCCCAAAGUCAUGGUUAAGUGGGAAACGAUGUGGGAAGGCCCAGACAGCCAGGAUGUUGGCUUAGAAGCAGCCAUCAUUUAAAGAAAGCGUAAUAGCUCACUGGUCGAGUCGGCCUGCGCGGAAGAUGUAACGGGGCUAAACCAUGCACCGAAGCUGCGGCAGCGACGCUUAUGCGUUGUUGGGUAGGGGAGCGUUCUGUAAGCCUGUGAAGGUGUGCUGUGAGGCAUGCUGGAGGUAUCAGAAGUGCGAAUGCUGACAUAAGUAACGAUAAAGCGGGUGAAAAGCCCGCUCGCCGGAAGACCAAGGGUUCCUGUCCAACGUUAAUCGGGGCAGGGUGAGUCGACCCCUAAGGCGAGGCCGAAAGGCGUAGUCGAUGGGAAACAGGUUAAUAUUCCUGUACUUGGUGUUACUGCGAAGGGGGGACGGAGAAGGCUAUGUUGGCCGGGCGACGGUUGUCCCGGUUUAAGCGUGUAGGCUGGUUUUCCAGGCAAAUCCGGAAAAUCAAGGCUGAGGCGUGAUGACGAGGCACUACGGUGCUGAAGCAACAAAUGCCCUGCUUCCAGGAAAAGCCUCUAAGCAUCAGGUAACAUCAAAUCGUACCCCAAACCGACACAGGUGGUCAGGUAGAGAAUACCAAGGCGCUUGAGAGAACUCGGGUGAAGGAACUAGGCAAAAUGGUGCCGUAACUUCGGGAGAAGGCACGCUGAUAUGUAGGUGAAGUCCCUCGCGGAUGGAGCUGAAAUCAGUCGAAGAUACCAGCUGGCUGCAACUGUUUAUUAAAAACACAGCACUGUGCAAACACGAAAGUGGACGUAUACGGUGUGACGCCUGCCCGGUGCCGGAAGGUUAAUUGAUGGGGUUAGCGCAAGCGAAGCUCUUGAUCGAAGCCCCGGUAAACGGCGGCCGUAACUAUAACGGUCCUAAGGUAGCGAAAUUCCUUGUCGGGUAAGUUCCGACCUGCACGAAUGGCGUAAUGAUGGCCAGGCUGUCUCCACCCGAGACUCAGUGAAAUUGAACUCGCUGUGAAGAUGCAGUGUACCCGCGGCAAGACGGAAAGACCCCGUGAACCUUUACUAUAGCUUGACACUGAACAUUGAGCCUUGAUGUGUAGGAUAGGUGGGAGGCUUUGAAGUGUGGACGCCAGUCUGCAUGGAGCCGACCUUGAAAUACCACCCUUUAAUGUUUGAUGUUCUAACGUUGACCCGUGAUCCGGGUUGCGGACAGUGUCUGGUGGGUAGUUUGACUGGGGCGGUCUCCUCCUAAAGAGUAACGGAGGAGCACGAAGGUUGGCUAAUCCUGGUCGGACAUCAGGAGGUUAGUGCAAUGGCAUAAGCCAGCUUGACUGCGAGCGUGACGGCGCGAGCAGGUGCGAAAGCAGGUCAUAGUGAUCCGGUGGUUCUGAAUGGAAGGGCCAUCGCUCAACGGAUAAAAGGUACUCCGGGGAUAACAGGCUGAUACCGCCCAAGAGUUCAUAUCGACGGCGGUGUUUGGCACCUCGAUGUCGGCUCAUCACAUCCUGGGGCUGAAGUAGGUCCCAAGGGUAUGGCUGUUCGCCAUUUAAAGUGGUACGCGAGCUGGGUUUAGAACGUCGUGAGACAGUUCGGUCCCUAUCUGCCGUGGGCGCUGGAGAAUUGAGGGGGGCUGCUCCUAGUACGAGAGGACCGGAGUGGACGCAUCACUGGUGUUCGGGUUGUCAUGCCAAUGGCACUGCCCGGUAGCUAAAUGCGGAAGAGAUAAGUGCUGAAAGCAUCUAAGCACGAAACUUGCCCCGAGAUGAGUUCUCCCUGACUCCUUGAGAGUCCUGAAGGAACGUUGAAGACGACGACGUUGAUAGGCCGGGUGUGUAAGCGCAGCGAUGCGUUGAGCUAACCGGUACUAAUGAACCGUGAGGCUUAACCUUACAACGCCGAAG
rnacentral:rRNA from 1 species